rnacentral:rRNA from 1 species
UACAGAGGGGGCUAGCGUUGCUCGGAAUCACUGGGCGUAAAGCGCACGUAGGCGGACUUUUAAGUCGGAGGUGAAAUCCUGGAGCUCAACUCCAGAACUGCCUUCGAUACUGAGAGUCUUCGAGUUCGGGAGAGGUGAGUGGAACUGCGAGUGUAGAGGUGAAAUUCGUAGAUAUUCGCAAGAACACCAGUGGCGAAGGCGGCUCACUGGCCCGAUACUGACGCUGAGGUGCGAAAGCGUGGGGAGCAAACAGG